UCCUAACUUUAGACACUAUC
rnacentral:snRNA from 1 species